rnacentral:rRNA from 1 species
UACGGGGGGGGGCAAGCGUUGUUCGGAAUUACUGGGCGUAAAGGGCGCGUAGGCGGCCUGCUAAGUCGGACGUGAAAUCCCUCGGCUCAACCGGGGAACUGCGUCCGAUACUGGUGGGCUUGAAUCCGGGAGAGGGAUGUGGAAUUCCAGGUGUAGCGGUGAAAUGCGCAGAUAUCAGGAGGAACACCGGUGGCGAAGGCGGAUCUCUGGGCCGAUACUGACGCUGAGGAGCGAAAGCGUGGGGAGCGAACAGG